rnacentral:rRNA from 1 species
UACGUAGGGUGCAAGCGUUAAUCGGAAUUACUGGGCGUAAAGCGUGCGCAGGCGGUUUUGUAAGUCUGACGUGAAAGCCCCGGGCUUAACCUGGGAAUUGCGUUGGAGACUGCAAGGCUAGAAUCUGGCAGAGGGGGUAGAAUUCCACGUGUAGCAGUGAAAUGCGUAGAGAUGUGGAGGAACACCGAUGGCGAAGGCAGCCCCUGGGUCAAGAUUGACGCUCAUGCACGAAAGGCGUGGGAGCAAACAGG